AAAAAAAAAAAAAAAACCUCUUUUUGGGGAUUGGGGGUGGGGGGAGGAUUUGCAUGCAUAUCUGCUUCAGAAGUUAGCAAAACUUGGCCAAAGUUGAGCCAAAAGAUCUUGAUAGAUUCAUGAGGAGUGACACCACAUUUAUUGUUGUGCUAUCAUUAACCUUACAGAUUCUUUUCUCUAUUCUAUGGCAAUUAUCUGUUGUGGUCAUAGAUUUAGGUGGCUUGUAUGGGAGCCACAUCCCACUGACUUCCAUGGUGUGGUAAAAAUUGAUCCUACACUGCACUGAGUUUCACAUUUACAGCUGGGGAUUGACUGAUACCAUUGUUAUGAAAUGAAUGGUGGUUUUGAUUUUUUAAGUAGAUGUGCCUCUACCUAACUUCUAAAGUUAAACAAUGGAGUUUUGAUUUUGAAGAACAGUUAGAACAAGGAACACGUCAUAAUUGGUGUCUUGUUGUGAUGUGUUCUUGGCAUUUUAGUAGUGAACUGAUCUAUAGUAACUCUGUUUUGAAUUGUUACUACUGCCACUUCCACUACUACUAUUAUACUACUGCUUUGAACUAUAAUCUUGCUCACAAUUUGUCAAGGUUUCGGAAGCUGGGGAGAAUU
rnacentral:misc_RNA from 1 species